rnacentral:rRNA from 1 species
GACGAACCGUGCGAACGUUGUUCGGAAUCACUGGGCUUAAAGGGCGCGUAGGCGGGCGGUCAAGUCCGGGGUGAAAUCUUUCGGCUCAACCGGAAAAGGGCCUCGGAUACUGACUGUCUUGAGGAAGGUAGGGGCAUGCGGAACUUCCGGUGGAGCGGUGAAAUGCGUUGAUAUCGGAAGGAACGCCGGUGGCGAAAGCGGCGUGCUGGACCUUUACUGACGCUGAGGCGCGAAAGCCAGGGGAGCGAACGGG